GGGGGGACGACGCUGGCGGCGUGCCUAAUACAUGCAAGUCGAACGCUUCUUUUUCCACCGGAGCUUGCUCCACCGGAAAAAGAGGAGUGGCGAACGGGUGAGUAACACGUGGGUAACCUGCCCAUCAGAAGGGGAUAACACUUGGAAACAGGUGCUAAUACCGUAUAACAAUCGAAACCGCAUGGUUUUGAUUUGAAAGGCGCUUUCGGGUGUCGCUGAUGGAUGGACCCGCGGUGCAUUAGCUAGUUGGUGAGGUAACGGCUCACCAAGGCGACGAUGCAUAGCCGACCUGAGAGGGUGAUCGGCCACAUUGGGACUGAGACACGGCCCAAACUCCUACGGGAGGCAGCAGUAGGGAAUCUUCGGCAAUGGACGAAAGUCUGACCGAGCAACGCCGCGUGAGUGAAGAAGGUUUUCGGAUCGUAAAACUCUGUUGUUAGAGAAGAACAAGGAUGAGAGUAACUGUUCAUCCCUUGACGGUAUCUAACCAGAAAGCCACGGCUAACUACGUGCCAGCAGCCGCGGUAAUACGUAGGUGGCAAGCGUUGUCCGGAUUUAUUGGGCGUAAAGCGAGCGCAGGCGGUUUCUUAAGUCUGAUGUGAAAGCCCCCGGCUCAACCGGGGAGGGUCAUUGGAAACUGGGAGACUUGAGUGCAGAAGAGGAGAGUGGAAUUCCAUGUGUAGCGGUGAAAUGCGUAGAUAUAUGGAGGAACACCAGUGGCGAAGGCGGCUCUCUGGUCUGUAACUGACGCUGAGGCUCGAAAGCGUGGGGAGCAAACAGGAUUAGAUACCCUGGUAGUCCACGCCGUAAACGAUGAGUGCUAAGUGUUGGAGGGUUUCCGCCCUUCAGUGCUGCAGCUAACGCAUUAAGCACUCCGCCUGGGGAGUACGACCGCAAGGUUGAAACUCAAAGGAAUUGACGGGGGCCCGCACAAGCGGUGGAGCAUGUGGUUUAAUUCGAAGCAACGCGAAGAACCUUACCAGGUCUUGACAUCCUUUGACCACUCUAGAGAUAGAGCUUCCCCUUCGGGGGCAAAGUGACAGGUGGUGCAUGGUUGUCUUCACCUCGGGUCUUGAAAUGUUGGGUUAAGUCCCGCAACGAGCGCAACCCUUAUUGUUAGUUGCCAUCAUUUAGUUGGGCACUCUAACAAGACUGCCCGGGACAAACCGGAAGAAAGGUGGGAAGAACGC
rnacentral:rRNA from 1 species